UCCAUUUCCUUAUCUGCAGCGCCCCUCCCGAUCCUCUCCCCGAUUCCCCUUCCAUCCGCCGCCGUGACGGUGUGCUCCUCGCCGCCGCUGCGCCCGACGAGGAUGCCCCUGCGCCGUGUCGUGCGGGACCUCUACGUCAUCACGGGGAUAUGGCGGACGAUUUCCAUCGGCUUUGAGGUCGUCGACCCCGCCGCGCCGUGCCCUCAGCCUUGUCGGGUUCCCGCCGCAGCGGGUACGGGAGGCCGCGCUACCGCAGCGGCCAGCGGACGCGGUAGGAGGAGGAAGACCGCCUGAACGGAUGCGCAGGGGCAUGCGGCUGGCUUCCCCAGUCCGGCCUUCCCGCCGGCUCCUCCCUCCACGGUAGCUUCCCCGGCUCGCGCCCUUUCCUCCCUGCCCUCCCGAUCCCUCACGCACAGCCGCCGCCGUCGUCGCCAUCUUCGUCACGUUCGACCUGCCCCCACCACGGAUCCCCACAUGCGGUGCGCGAGUACCUCCUGCGCACCCUCGCUGUUUCCUGCGUCGCGUCCUCCCCCGAGACAGGCGAGCAGAUGGGAUCGACGACGACCGGAUGGUCGCAGUGCUGGCAUUGGCGAGCAGGGCAAGCAUGGCUCCACUGGUGAUGGAAGGAAUGGUGGUGUAUCCUAAGCUAUGGUUCCCUAGGCGGCAUGCGCAACCACGUCAGAGCAAUAGCCAGCACGCCGGCGCGGUGUUCACGACCAGCUGCUGCAACCCACCAUGUCUGUGCAGACACAAUUAACUAGCUUCGAUGCAUGGCGAGGGCACCUUCUCAUGGCCACAGACCUGGCCACGGUGAGUGGCGCCUUGACUGGGGAUGCCACGGCGAGGGCGGCGGCGACCUAGCGUGCCGGACGUGCUGCGGGCAUGCGAGUUCCUGCAUGGCGACCUGUUGCAUAUAUUAGUAAAAUUAUCGUAGUUUCCCUGCUGCUUGUGGUCCUAUGUUUUUUCCAUAGGAUGUUAGUCGCUAACCAAUAUUCUUUUUGUUCUUUAGAGUGAUUUUGACUUAUCGAACCAAUGUAGGUCGAUUUGUUGAUCAAAUUUAUUAAGAUGCAUCUGUGAAUUUAAUCUGAGUUGUAAUCCUGUUGUUUUAAUCUGAGUAGUCUCAAAGGUUUUUAUUGAAAUCCAUCUAUGAUCUUGGAGAUAAAUAAAGAUCAUGAACAUACAUAAAAAAAUCUAACGAAAUGUACCUAAUUGCAUAUUGGAGGUGGUACCUAAUUGCUUAAGGCUAAUAUUGUUGGUUAGUGUAUGGUUACAAUGCAGUUAAUUGGUUCCAUAUUUUCAAAUGUAAGUCUUCUCUUUUACCUUUUCUUUUGCAAUGCUGAUUUGUGGUAAAGAGUACUGUUAUACUAACCAUCCUAUGGUGUGUCUAGCUAGCUGCAGUUGGGGCCAAUGAUGAUGUGCCUGCAUUUCUCCAAUCUAACACUUUAUUGAACUAACUAGAUGAAUUCUUUUCAUGGCUGUUUUCUGUGCUUCAAAAUUUGGAAUCAAUAAGUCCAAUGUAAGCUGUAAAGGUUUGCAUAUGAAAGUUGUUUUACUGUUGAAAUACUUGUCACAGUAAUACAGCAUUGUACUGACACUAUCUCAUUCGGAUAUUGCAGUAAUGAGGGUUACCAAACCUCUUUCAUGUCAGGGACUUUUCUUGCUGAGAACAGCUCAUAUUACUUCAGCGUGCUUGAAAUUCUUCUUGGGAAGUUAUCAAAACACUUAUUUGAUCAGUCCCUGAAGAGAAUUGCCAAUUUUGUUAACGCAAAUAUCCUCCCUGGUGCUACUUCCGAAGUUGGGCUUCUUUGUUGUGCCUGCGUUCAUUCAUAUUUGGUUUCCUAUUAUCGAAUUGAUCAGUACAAGUCAUUCAUGUAAGAAUAUGGGGUAGUAAAAACAAAAAUUUUCUACCGCAUAAAUCAGGAUUACUGCAGUUAUAGAUCACGGGAUUACCACUAAACGCGCAGAUGCGGAACUUCUGAAGCGCGUCGGUGUCGUGCAGAUGGAAGCCGGCAGUGCAGUUGCGAGAACCUCCUCACGUGCGGCUCGUCCUUGUGCAGCAGAUGUGGAACCUCCAAGAAAUGCGCCCAUCAUAUAAAGAUGAGAGGUCGAAGGAAGUGGAGCCCAUAUUCUUCAUAGCAGGAUCUGCUGGUAGCACUGUUGGCAGCUCAAAAAUGCGUGAAAAGUCUGCCACCAGCCUGCACAUAGGUUGCAAGUGAAGUGUUCUUAAAUAAUCAAGUAUCAUUUGAUAAUAUUAAAUGUUUAGUCUCACAAUUGCAUUUCUAUCAACAGGCACUUACUAAAGGAAAGAACUGAUGACACCCGCGUAAUUGAUGCUUUGGUAAACUAUGGCAUGCACUAGGCUAAAAGACUCAAGUUUGUGGAUUCUGAUUCUUCUAUGUGGACUGUGAUUGAAGUUCUAAAUUUUGUCUCCAUUAGACCUAGAUGCUGAAAUCUCUAUUUUACAAAAUAUUUUAGAUGCCAAUAUAUUAAUAGGGAUAAUUUAGUUAUUCUUGUAGAUCUCAUUCCACAUGAGCAUCACAGGUUAUGGCUAACAAUAUAUAAUGGCACAUGGUCGCUGCGGAGAAGAUCGGCGGGAAGGUACUCAAGGUCUGCGUCCGCAACCGGGACCUCUUCGCGCUUGACAACUCAGUCGUCGACAUUGGCUACUGCAUCAAAUAUAUGAAUAUGCAUGAUGAUGCUUACGGAGAGAAUUCAUUUCACCCGUAUCAACGCACGGGUACAAGUUUGAGAAGCAUUAUAUACUUGAUAUAGAGUGAUUGCUAUAGUAUUGAUAAAUCAGGUUAAUUUUUUUAGUAGUCGUUUCUUGUAAUGAAAUUAUUUUAUAAAUACAUUUUUCUAUGACACGGGC